UACGGAGGGUGCAAGCGUUAAUCGGAAUUACUGGGCGUAAAGCGCACGUAGGUGGUUUGCUAAGCCAGCUGUGAAAUCCCCGGGCUCAACCUGGGCACUGCAGUUGGAACUGGCAAGCUAGAGUAGGGUAGAGGGGUGUGGAAUUCCCGGUGUAGAGGUGAAAUUCGUAGAUAUCGGGAGGAACACCAGUGGCGAAGGCGGCGACCUGGGCCAAUAUUGACGCUGAGGUGCGAAAGCGUAGGGAGCAAACAGG
rnacentral:rRNA from 1 species